AGAUUGAACGCUGGCGGCAGGCCUAACACAUGCAAGUCGAGCGGCAGCACGGGUACUUGUACCUGGUGGCGAGCGGCGGACGGGUGAGUAAUGCCUAGGAAUCUGCCUGAUAGUGGGGGAUAACGCUCGGAAACGGACGCUAAUACCGCAUACGUCCUACGGGAGAAAGCGAGGGGACCUUCGGGCCUUGCGCUAUCAGAUGAGCCUAGGUCGGAUUAGCUA
rnacentral:rRNA from 1 species